rnacentral:rRNA from 1 species
AUUGAACGCUGGCGGCAUGCCUUACACAUGCAAGUCGAACGGCAGCGGGGGAGAAGCUUGCUUUUCCUGCCGGCGAGUGGCGAACGGGUGAGUAAUACAUCGGACCGUGCCCUGUAGUGGGGGAUAACUAGUCGAAAGAUUAGCUAAUACCGCAUACGACCUGAGGGUGAAAGUGGGGGACCGCAAGGCCUCAUGCUAUAGGAGCGGCCGAUGUCUGAUUAGCUAGUUGGUGGGGUAAAGGCCUACCAAGGCGACGAUCAGUAGCUGGUCUGAGAGGACGAUCAGCCACACCGGGACUGAGACACGGCCCAGACUCCUACGGGAGGCAGCAGUGGGGAAUUUUGGACAAUGGGCGAAAGCCUGAUCCAGCAAUGCCGCGUGUGUGAAGAAGGCCUUCGGGUUGUAAAGCACUUUUGUCCGGAAAGAAAUGGCUCUGGUUAAUACCUGGGGUCGAUGACGGUACCGGAAGAAUAAGGACCGGCUAACUACGUGCCAGCCGCCGCUGUAA